UACGUAGGGGGCGAGCGUUGUCCGGAUUUAUUGGGCGUAAAGAGCUCGUAGGCGGUUCGAUAAGUCGGAUGUGAAAUCUCCACGCUUAACGUGGAGGGUGCAUUCGAUACUGUCGUGACUCGAGUCCGGUAGGGGAGUGUGGAAUUCCCGGUGUAGCGGUGAAAUGCGCAGAGAUCGGGAGGAACACCCGUAGCGAAGGCGGCACUCUGGGCCGGUACUGACGCUGAGGAGCGAAAGCGUGGGGAGCAAACAGG
rnacentral:rRNA from 1 species